rnacentral:misc_RNA from 1 species
UUUUGAGUUGGUAGAUUUAUCGCCUUCGUCGAUCAAGGGAUGAUUUAUAAAAGUUAUGCAAAAGAGCAAUCCACCUUUGACGUUAGGGUUCAGAAAGGCUGAAAAAAAAAAGUAUUAACAACCUUUUAUACUAAUGAGUAAGAGAUCCGUUCGAAAAAAGGAGAAAUCUGCAGAGAGGCAUUGUUAAUUUCUCAAGUCUCAAGCAAUUCAAGCUAUCAUACUUUUUCCCAGGUUUUAUAUUUGAUUGGUGAAGGGCAUCAGACUACACUUCAAGAUGUCUCAAAGAUUGCAUAAAAUACUUUACAAAAUCUUUCGUGGAAUUUUAUGGUAUCAGAUCUAUUUUUGGUAGACUUUGAACACACCUGCAAUCAAUAAAACAUUAUCAAACUUUAACAAUCAAGAACCAAUUCAGUUCAAGAAUUAAAAUGAAUUUGACAACCAUGGUGCAAACUUUAUAUUCUUUUAUUUCUAUGUUUCUUUUUUAUUUAUUCACUUCUGAACAGUGAGUUUCACCUUGUAUUCCUCAUGACCUUACAACUUGGCCGACAAUCACAGUAAUAUCAUCGAGCUUUCCACCUAUCAAUUAAAGAGUUUAGGUCAGGCAUGGCAUCAAGGGAAAUGUAUAACAAUAAAUGUACAGGAAAAAAGAUCAUGCCUGCAAGCUUCAUCCCGAGAAUUUUCUUCCAAAAUGGAACAUCAAUACCCUAUUUAGAAAUAUUCAUUAGAUUAAAAUACAGGUUACGUUUUUUUGAUCAAGAAAAUAAAUGUUACAUUUAUUGGAUGUGGAAAGAUGAAUUUAUAUUCUAGUAGUUGUUUUACCUUGGAUCUGGCUUCCAGUGCAUAAGGGGAUUCAAAUUCUGAGUCCAUUGCAUGAGUUCUUGCUAGGUUAGCUAAUGCCUUUGCUAGCAUUGAAAUUGAAUCUCAGUUAGAAGAUAAGCAGUUGAGUUACAAUCUGUAAUAAAUUAAACUAUGGAAACAUA